rnacentral:rRNA from 2 species
CUUGCAAGUCGAGCGGACGGAUGGGAGCUUGCUCCCAGACCGUCAGCGGCGGACGGGUGAGUAACACGUGGGCAACCUGCCUGUAAGACUGGGAUAACUCCGGGAAACCGGGGCUAAUACCGGAUAAUUCUUUCCCUCACAUGAGGAAAAGCUGAAAGAUGGCAUCUCGCUAUCACUUACAGAUGGGCCCGCGGCGCAUUAGCUAGUUGGUGAGGUAACGGCUCACCAAGGCGACGAUGCGUAGCCGACCUGAGAGGGUGAUCGGCCACACUGGGACUGAGACACGGCCCAGACUCCUACGGGAGGCAGCAGUAGGGAAUCUUCCGCAAUGGACGAAAGUCUGACGGAGCAACGCCGCGUGAGUGAUGAAGGUUUUCGGAUCGUAAAACUCUGUUGUCAGGGAAGAACAAGUACCGGAGUAACUGCCGGUACCUUGACGGUACCUGACCAGAAAGCCACGGCUAACUACGUGCCAGCAGCCGCGGUAAUACGUAGGUGGCAAGCGUUGUCCGGAAUUAUUGGGCGUAAAGCGCGCGCAGGCGGUUCCUUAAGUCUGAUGUGAAAGCCCCCGGCUCAACCGGGGAGGGUCAUUGGAAACUGGGGAACUUGAGUGCAGAAGAGAAGAGUGGAAUUCCACGUGUAGCGGUGAAAUGCGUAGAGAUGUGGAGGAACACCAGUGGCGAAGGCGACUCUUUGGUCUGUAACUGACGCUGAGGCGCGAAAGCGUGGGGAGCAAACAGGAUUAGAUACCCUGGUAGUCCACGCCGUAAACGAUGAGUGCUAAGUGUUAGAGGGUUUCCGCCCUUUAGUGCUGCAGCAAACGCAUUAAGCACUCCGCCUGGGGAGUACGGCCGCAAGGCUGAAACUCAAAGGAAUUGACG